rnacentral:misc_RNA from 1 species
GGUAAAAUGACUAGUUAUAUAUAAAAAAUUGAUAAAUUAUUACCUUGUUUAAAUUAAGCCUUGUCAUACAUAGACAUCAAUUUACAUUUUACUGGGACAAAAAAUCAAUGUCAGAUGCUACCACAUUGUGACCAGACUUUUGCAUAACUGUCAAAGAAAAAACCUAGAUAAUAUCUCCAUCCAGCAGGUAAUGGCUUCCCAGAAUUGACUGUUUUGUCAACCCACUUCCCAGAGAACCAGGCUUCAAUUGUUGAGACAUGAAACACUAGCAUUGGAGGUUAUGUCAUGUGGUGCUAUUAUAACAAGAAUUAAAACCUUUUCCAGGAUUCUCCAUUGUUUGUGAAAAUAUAGAAUCAAGUGCAAGAAACUGCACUUCCAUACCUCAUGAACCAAGUUCAACUGUAAGAGAUUGAAGAUGCCACUCUAGCAUGGUUUGGAAUCAUUUCCAAUGAAAUUUCAAACAAGCGAAGGCUUGCUCCAGCCUUUCUCCAUCAAUAUGAGGUCAAGACGCACCAUCAAUUUCUCCACAGCAUCUUCCUCCAGGUUGUCAAAUUUGUUGGAUGGUUGCUUUUGCAAGGAAAAACUCUUUGUGUCUUGAUACAUCUUGAGACAUUGCUGUGACUGCUCAUAAAAUCCACAAUGGUAUAGAAGAAUGCCGUAAUCUCUCAAUUCCUUUGGAUCAGACUCCAGGAGUAUCAGACGUUCACACGCAGAUAAUGCAAGCAUCAUAUCCCCAAAACUUUUUCUGGUCUGAACACCAUGGAGUAGCCUAUGUUGAGCACUCUCUGCAGGGGCAAGCUGACAAUCACUGUCUUCAAGAUUUUUUGAUUUAUCGAUACAAUUUGCAGCAUGCGCUGCCCUUAAGAAUAAACUUUUUGUGUUGUCAUAUUGAAAUGGCCAGAAAGCGUCCUUCAAAUUUCUCAAAGUCUCCUCUAACAGAGUUUGUGUCGUCGUUAUGAAAGGCUGCUCAGAUUCCUUGCUCUUCCGCGUAUCAUAGCCUCUAGGAAGACCAUGAAGAUCAUAAGGGAAGAAUAUCUCACAAUCAAAAUCCAGUAGACCCCAUAAGCGAAGCAUUUUCAGGAUUUCUGAGUAAAUGAGUGAAAGCAUAACAGCUGAUCCAGAUCUAUGUGUCAAAACUGAGGGGAGAUAGAGACCCUGUGCCUCCAAUUGGUCCUUAGCAUCGGUUCUCCGGAAACCCUUGUUGACAUACAAAUAUGAGUCUAAACUAUGAAGAAAAAUUUCAGGGGAAGAACUGAAUGAUGAGUUAUAGCUUGAGCAGUAGCCCAUGGAAAGAUCAUCCAACAAUUGAAUGAAAUCAUCUACAGGAAGUGGGGCCGAAGAGUGAGAUACAAGAGAAUCAUCCUCGGCUGCAAUAUAAAGCGCUGUUUUCCCCAAAUCCACACAUCUAUUGAUGCUAAUGCUAGUUUCCCUCUCGAUAUCCGAUAAAUUCUGAAUCUGUGUCAAGAAUUCCGUCCUCGACUCUCUAGCGUAGCUGGUGUCGAAGCCUAAGGAAUCCAAGGCAUCGUGUAAAACAAAUUUGAGAUUAGUAGUCGGUGGCGAUGCUCCACGGCAGAGCAGACGGCGGCGUGGAGAAGAAGAAGGAGAAGGUGAUUGGACUAGCGAGGCUGUCGGAAUUGGAGGAGGAGGAGAAGAAGCAGAAGUAAUCAUUUUGUGUGCCUGAUGGAAGUGACUAUGGGCAAG